CCUAGCCGAGCCAGGACCCCAUGGUGUGAAGGAAUUUAGGGGCGAUGCCUGGGGUGAUGCCCUUUUCUUUGUGAAGGAACAAAUCCUGCCUCCUCCUCUCCAGCUGGAAGGCAGGAUAGGGAUGCUUUAACACAGGCAGAUAUGACCAGAGACCCCAAAACCAGGAUCGUCGAGGCAGACACGACAGCAAUUCAUGCAGAGGUGCCUUCAGCUGCAGGGAGCUGCUGGGCUCGGGGGAGCUGAGCAGCAUCGCAUCACUGGGCGAUGUAUUAAAUGCAACCUGGACAGAAAGCUGCAGCUGGGGGCUGCCUUGGGAACACCUGCAGCCUGCUCAGCCUUCAUGCUGCUCCUCUGGAUGGAAAAGGCUCGGUUCUAGGGCUCAAAGGGGGAUCUGGCAGCAGCCCUGUACAAGAACCCGUGUGGGAAACACGUCAUUUCCCAAGAUGUUGCUCCAAUGCUGCACACAAAGAGGAAUCGCUUCAGACAGCACAAGACAGGAGCUGGCAGGUAGUAUGGACAAAAACAACAGCCCUGCAGGAAAAAGCUGAUGCAAAAGCCUGGACUGAGGAGGUCCUUUAAUGUUUAAUCACAGAACCUCUUGUCCAAACAGCUGAGCUCUGUGUAAGGCCUGGAUGUGUUUGCUGUGUGUGGGAGACCUCUGUUUGCAGGGGGAGGAGAGGCUCUGACCCGUAUCGCCCUGAGCAGGAGCGUGCACCCUGUCGGGGUCUGCAGCCUAACGCGCGCUCCUGCCCUGCUGAGCACACACAUCGCUGCUUGCACUCACGUGUGGCCUCCCCACAACGUGCACUUAGGCUUUCCCCAUCCUUAUCGCAGGAGGGAACAAGGAGUUUUCCCGUUGUGAAGGAAAUUAAUGGAAAAAAAAAAAGAAUCCGGGGAAAUUGGCCAUUCUUUUGGCUGAUUGCCUUCGGUUUUCCUACUGGCCGUGUCGGGGUUCAGCUUUCCUGAAGGAAUGAACAAUAAUCUAAUUAAUAUGCUUACUCUAGUAUAAUGGAGCCUAAAGAUGCCUUCAGCUUGUCGCAGCAUGCACUUUUAAAUUUUUUUUUGCUCUGCAGUAACAUUAAAACAGCCAGACUUUCAGCCCUGCAAACUGUGGAUAAUGAAUUUCUUUCAUCCCAAACAAUUUACUCCCCUGUGUAUUAAAACACUUAACCAGAUCAGUUGUAUUUGUACCAAUGCGUGCUCUGAUGUGCGCAGCAAUGGAAAAAAAAAUAAAAGAGCAAUCAGCGUGCAGUAAUGAUUAUUUUCUUGGUAAAUGCUUUUUUUUUUUUUUCUUUUUUUUUUUUUCUUUUCUUUUUCUAAAAAUGAUGGAAAUAAAGUCGCAUAUUUCUCAGUGAGAAGUGAAUGCUGUUUACACAACCAACAUGAGUAAUGAAAACAAGUAUAUUCCCUCCUGCCCUUGUUCUCUUUGGACCCCAUCCAGCAUUGAGUGAAGUCGGUGAGAGCUCUGCUGCUGACUCGUUCGGAGCAAGGCUGGAGCCGCUGUCCGCAGUCAGCAUUCCCCCCCAGCAAGCACGGCUCUGGAAAUGCUGAAGAGUCACUCGGAGAAGGCAGAGAUCAUCAAGAUCGUGUUGAGAAGGAACAUCUAACU